rnacentral:rRNA from 1 species
CAGUCGCCGCGGGAAAACGGAGGAUCCAAGCGUUAUCCGGAUUUAUUGGGUUUAAAGGGUGCGUAGGUGGCCUGUUAAGUCAGGGGUGAAAGACGGUAGCUCAACUAUCGCAGUGCCCUUGAUACUGAUGGCUUGAAUGAACUAGAGGUAGGCGGAAUGUGACAAGUAGCGGUGAAAUGCAUAGAUAUGUCACAGAACACCAAUUGCGAAGGCAGCUUACUAUGGUUUUAUUGACACUGAGGCACGAAAGCUAGGGGAGCAAAUGGGAUUAGAUACCCCCGUAGUCCCUGUCUCUUAUACA